rfam:Triticum aestivum genome assembly, contig: Triticum_aestivum_CS42_TGACv1_scaffold_343117_4DL
AUGUUACUCCCUCCGUUCGAAAAUACUUGUCAUCAAAAUGGAUAAAAGGGGAUGUAUCUAGACGUAUUUUAGUUCUAGAUACAUCUCUUUCUAUUUGUUUUGAUGACAAAUAUUUUUGGACGGAGAGAGUACUAU